GACGGGUGUGGUGGCACACACCUGUAAUCCCAGCGGCUUGGGUGGCUGAGGCAGGAGGAUCACAAGUUUAAAGCCAGCCUCAGCAACCGUGAGGUGCUAAACAACUCAGUGAGAUCCUGUCUCUA
rnacentral:sRNA from 1 species